rfam:Daphnia magna strain Xinb3 contig24985, whole genome shotgun sequence.
GUCCGGUUAGCUCAGUUGGUAGAGGGUUGGACUUUUCAUCCUGAGGACGACGGUUCAAGUCCCUUAUUAGGCG